rnacentral:rRNA from 1 species
CACACCGCCCGUCACACCAUGAGAGUGGGUUCCACCAGAAGUAGUUAGCCUAACCGCAAGGAGGGCGACUACCACGGUGAGAUUCAUGACUGGGGUG